rnacentral:rRNA from 1 species
AAGUCGUAUCAAGGUUUCCGUAGGUGAACCUGCGGAAGGAUCAUUAGUGAACGCCCUCACGGGCUUAUAACUAUUCCAAACCUCUGUGAACCGUGCCCUUCGGGGCUAUUUUACAAACAUGGUGUAAUGAACGUCAUAUAUCAUAACAAAACAAAACUUUCAACAACGGAUCUCUUGGCUCUCGCAUCGAUGAAGAACGCAGCGAAAUGCGAUAAGUAAUGUGAAUUGCAGAAUUCAGUGAAUCAUCGAAUCUUUGAACGCACCUUGCGCCCUCUGGUAUUCCGGAGGGCAUGCCUGUUUGAGUGUCAUGUAGACUCAAUCCCUCGGGUUUCCGAGGAGAUUGGACUUGGGUGUUGCCGCUCUGCCGGCUCGCCUUAAAAGACUUAGCGGGAUAGCACCGUAGUCGGCGUAAUAAGUUUCGUCGGUGAAGGAUGUGAUGACUGCUUACAAUCGCCCUCGGGCAAUUUUUGACUCUGACCUCAAAUCACGUAGGACUACCCGCUGAACUUAA